UAGGAAGGGGGCUAGCGUUGUUCGGGUUUACUGGGCGUAAAGCGCGUGUAGGCGGGUCGUUAAGUUGGGGGUGAAAUCCCGGAGCUCAACUCCGGAACUGCCUUCAAAACUGGCGACCUGGACUCAAGCAGAGGCAAGUGGAAUUGCGAGUGUAGAGGUGAAAUUCGUAGAUAUUCGCAGGAACACCAGUGGCGAAGGCGACUUGCUGGGCUUGUAGUGACGCUGAGACGCGAAAGCUUGGGGAGCAAACAGG
rnacentral:rRNA from 1 species